GCGGAGGAAAUGAAAAUAACAAUGAUUUCCCUAGUAACGGCGAGUGAAGAGGAAAGAGCUCAAAGUUGGAACCUGUUUGGCCUAGCUAAACAGGAUUGUAAACUGUAGAAGUGUUUUCCAGGCAAUCCGAGUUAAUAAGUCCUUUGGAACAGGGCAUCAUAGAGGGUGAGAAUCCCGUCUUUGAUUCGAGAUAUUUUGUCUUUUGCGAUACACUUUCAAAGAGUCAGGUUGUUUGGGAAUGCAGCCUAAAUUGGGUGGUAAAUCUCACCUAAAGCUAAAUAUUGGCGAGAAACCGAUAGCGAACAAGUACCGUGAGGGAAAGAUGAAAAGAACUUUGAAAAGAGAGUUAAACAGUAUGUGAAAUUGUUAAAAGGGAACCGUUUGGAGCCAGACUGGCUUGUCUGUAAUCAAUCUAGGUUUCGUGCCUGGAUGCACUUGCAGACUAUUUGCCUGCCAACGACAAUUUUUUUUGAGUGUAAAAACUAUUGGAAAUGUGGCCAAUAUUUAUUUAUUGGUGUUAUAGUCCUUUAGAAAAUACCUUGAAUUGGAUUGAGGAACGCAGCGAAUGCUUCUCUUUUGAGGCAAAGUCUUUUAUUGGGAUUUACGGAUCAGACUGUGGCAUUGUCAC
rnacentral:rRNA from 1 species